AUCAAGAACCCAUCUAUAUAUACCAUCACCUACCCUAAUUCGAUACCCACACCACUCAAAAGAAACUAUCCCCUUCACUUGUCUGCCAAACAAUAUCGAGCCGCCAUCCUUCGCCCGCGCUAUCGAGAAAGAUGACCGGAGUUUACGUCAUCACUGUUCGGUUAAUCACUCUUGUUCGUCCUUUUGGAUUUCCAAUCUUUACUCGUGCUUUGGACUUCCUAUCUUUCACUCGUGCGUUUUUCAAGGAAUCUCCAUACGCAAAACAGUUGAUAGUCAAGAUGAUGAAGGAAUCAAGUUAGGAUGGACUAGAUACCCACUUUAAUAAUAAACCAUGUUUGUUGAAAUUUGUCUUUAUUUAAAACAAUGCAUUUGA